AUUGAACGCUGGCGGCAUGCCUUACACAUGCAAGUUGUACGGUAGAGGGGCAACCCUCGAGAGUGGCGAACGGGUGAGUAAUGCAUCGGAACGUGCCCAGUAGUGGGGGAUAGCCCGGCGAAAGCCGGAUUAAUACCGCAUACGAUCUACGGGUGAAAGGGGGGGAUCGAAAGACAUCUCGCAAUUGGAGCAGCCGAUGUCAGAUAAGGUAGUUGGGAGGGUAAAGGCCUACCAAGCCGACGAUCUGUAGCUAGUCUAAGAGGACGACCAGCCACACUGGGACUGAGACACGGCCCAGACUCCUACGGGAGGCAGCAGUGGGGAAUUUUGGACAAUGGGCGAAAGCCUGAUCCAGCCAUGCCGCGUGCGGGAAGAAGGCCUUCGGGUUGUAAACCGCUUUUGUCAGGGAAGAAAUCUUCUGUGUUAAUACCUCGGGAGGAUGACGGUACCUGAAGAAUAAGCACCGGCUAACUACGUGCCAGCCGCCGCCGUAAGAC
rnacentral:rRNA from 1 species